CGUAUUCACUACUGUAAGUCGCUCUGGAUAAGAGCGUCUGCUAAAUGACAAAAA
rfam:Salmo salar isolate Sally breed double haploid chromosome ssa19, whole genome shotgun sequence.